UACGUAGGGUGCGAGCGUUGUCCGGAAUUAUUGGGCGUAAAGAGCUCGUAGGCGGUCUGUCGCGUCGGUAUCGUGAAAACUUGGGGCUUAACCCUGAGCUUGCGGUCGAUACGGGCAUGACUGGAGUUCGGCAGGGGAGACUGGAAUUCCUGGUGUAGCGGUGAAAUGCGCAGAUAUCAGGAAGAACACCGGUGGCGAAGGCGGCUCUCUGGGCCUUACCUGACGCUGAGGAGCGAAAGCGUGGGGAGCGAACAGG
rnacentral:rRNA from 1 species